rnacentral:lncRNA from 1 species
AGAUAAUAACAAUGAAUCUUGGUUACGGAAAGCGAGUCAAAAGGGACAUCACAACAAUGAGACCUAGUGAAAAUCAGUAAUCGGUCAGCGUGGAGAUGAAUGGAAUGAGAACCGAAUGAGCUAGCAAAGGAUGGCAUAUAGAUUUGAUCGAGUGGUGAUUGAACGAGAACAGACCGAGUGGUUAUAUAAACUCGGAUGCAGGUGCGGGCCAAAGAUGAAAUUUGUUGUUCGAGUCUAACAGCAGAGUACCAAUCAACCGCAAUCUAAGGACAUGCUACCAUGACAAGACAUGACUGAUCGUGAGAAGUUAGAUGGAUAGAUGAAGGCUUUAAUAAAAACCAUCAAAGAA